GUAUUGCUUACAGACUCUGAAAGUCUCCAUAUUAGGUUGAAUAUAAAACGAAAGUUAAUAUAAUCACAUAUAUUCUUGUAUAACCCACAAUGAAAAUG